rnacentral:lncRNA from 1 species
CAGCGGACGUCUCUCUCUUCACCCCGCAGCAGGUUGCUGUGGCCUGACAGAAUCAGCUGCACGGCACGGACCCCCAUUGGACUGAACCGAGACGAACCGAACCGAACUGAGCCGAACUGAGCCGAACUGCAAGAGGAGCCUAUCCCGAGCCAAGUUCCUCCCGCAGUGUGCAGUCUGCUCAGCGGGGACUCUGCAGCUGUGUGUCAGUCGUUAUGGAGGCUCCGGGCGGCCCGAGGCGGAGGAUCGUCCCGGUCCCGCUGCUGGUUCUGCUGCUCUGCUGCACCGCCUGUACGGGACACGCCGAGAGGGUGUGUCACUGCAGCGGGAAGUCUCUCUGUCACUGUGACGGGGUCAAAGGUCAGAAGGGUGAAUCUGGUUACCUUGGAUAUGACGGACUUCCUGGAGUGAUUGGUUACCCUGGAAACGAGGGCCACCAGGGCUCACCUGGAGAAAAAGUAACAACAUCCGAACUGAACACAGCAAACAUGUUUGCAUAAUAAUGAUGAGAUGAUUAUUAUUAUUGUUAGUAUUUCACUUGUUUAAACAGACUGUGGGGUUCCUCAGGGUUCUCUCCUCGGUCCUCUUUUAUUUUAAAACUGCUAAAAUAAUCUUCAUGAUGUCGUGUCUGUCUGAUAUCUCAUGUUUAAUAACGUCAGUGAACAAACUGACUGACGGAUCAUCACAAGUAGUUUAUUUUAACUCAUAUUUCAUUUAACUAAUUUAAACAACUUGCUCGCGUUUUUAUGGUCAGAUUGUUAUCAGAUCACGCUUCAAUGCCUCAUUUGGAGAAAGAAAUGUAUUUGUUUGUCUGCAGAUUGCUGACUGCAGGUCUGUUCUCGUCUGCAGCACAAAUACAAUGACCUUAGAUGUUUUACAGAUUUGAUAUCAGAGACGUGCAUCUGCUGACUUCAUACUUCAGACAAAAUCAAAACAGAUAUAAAACUGAAGUAUGAACACAAGUGUGUAUGUGAAUUUCUGUUGGGGACAUUUGGGGGUAUAUAUAAUAUACACAUAUUUCAUUUUGCUUCAUUUUCAGUGUAUACAUUUAAUAAGUGAAUUGUACAAAAAUAAUGACUGUAAUAAGCUUCGGCUUUAACCUACACUUUCUCUGUCAGUAUGAGCUUUGGUUUGUCACUACUUCAAAAGUAAUAACUUUUUAUUGUUUUUAAAUAUUCUUUACAUGUACUGUAUAUUUUGAGUUAAGUUGAAAAAGAUGGAAAUUAACUAAACUAAAGUAAAAAAAGGACUAUUACAGCAGUGACUUAAUAUCCAAAAAUGAAAAAUGAAAAGUUUACGACUUGUCUUGUUUUGUUUGUCAGGAAUUGAGAGACGACAAUAACAUUGUUCCAUCUUGUU